rnacentral:rRNA from 1 species
AGGGCACCACCAGGAGUGGAGCCUGCGGCUUAAUUUGACUCAACACGGGGAAACUUACCCGGCCCGGACACUGGAAGGAUUGACAGAUUGAGAGCUCUUUCUUGAUUCAGUGGGUGGUGGUGCAUGGCCGUUCUUAGUUGGUGGAGCGAUUUGUCUGGUUAAUUCCGAUAACGAACGAGACUCUAGCCUAUUAAAUAGGCUCCCGGCUUUUAAACGCCGGGAGGACUUCUUAGAGGGACAGGUGGCGGUUCAGCCGCACGAAAGAGAGCAAUAACAGGUCUGUGAUGCCCUUUGAUGUCCGGGGCCGCACGCGCGCUACACUGAAGAGAUCAGCGUGCUUUAUGUUCCUGCUCCGACCGGAGUGGGGAACCCAGUGAAACUUCUUCGUGAUUGGGAUAGAACAUUGUAAUUAUUGUUCUUGAACGAGGAAUUCCCAGUAAAUGCGAGUCAUAAGCUCGCGUUGAUUACGUCCCUGCCCUUCGUACACACCGCCCGUCGCUACUACCGAUUGAACGAUUU